ensembl:lncRNA LINC02008 long intergenic non-protein coding RNA 2008
ACUCGAGUAGGGAGUCUGGCCUAGUGAAAGUCUCUGUUUCCUCCUUUUCUUACUUUUCACUCAAUAAAACCCUGCUUUACACACCCUUCAAACCAUCUGUGAGCCUGAAUUUUUACGGCCAUGGGACAGACAAGGAUCCUGUCUUUAUCUAAACUAAGGAAAAGUCCUGCAACAUUUGUGGUGCACAACGUGGGGCUCGAGAAGUGAUCAUCCAAAGUCCAGCUACCACAAUAUGUCUGGAUUGAAUCUUAAGGAUUCUUCCUGUUAUUCAUGCAUUGACUGGGCUUGGCUGGGCAGCUCUCUUCUGAAGUUGUAAUCGGAUGUUGUCUGUGGUUGCUGUCAUUUAAAUGCUCAGAUUGGCUGAAUGUCCAACGUGGCUCACUGACAUAGUUGGCAGAUCACUAAAUAGCUAGAAAUGCCAGAAACAGACAUGACAUAUCAUGGAUUCCAGGAAAACGCCUAUUUUGGAGUGAAACCAGGGCCGCCUUAUGAGCUAAACAGAGUGUGUUACAGCUUCAAUAGACUAAACAAGCUCUAAAUUUAUCUUCCUAUGGUCACGGGAUCUCAUAUAUUCUGGCUGUCAUUGUCAUAAUAAGCCACUCUUGGUCAUAUGGAAAAGCAUUCAGCUGCUCCCUGCCUUUGCUCACAGCGUGUGGUACUCUCUUAGAAGCUAUUCCUGUCCUAUUUAGGCAGUUAUUCCUGCUUCUUGUGUUGGACCUGAAGUCAACAGGGCCAGCAAUAGAGAAGAAAGAUGAUGUGAAGGAGAGCAACUGAAAUGGGAGAGUUCUCUGACCCACUCGUGGAACCUGCUUGGGCUGCCAUGUGCUCAAACCCUUUAUGGAGGGGAGAUGCAGACAGUAUGUUGAGAAAAUAUUUUCAUUAGAUGUUGGACAAAUGGACAAAACAUGAGGGGUGGCAAGUCUGGUGCUGAGAAAAAAAAUGUGAAGUAAGAACGGGAUUCCUCUGAUCCAGGAUCACAGCUUAGUAACCCAUGAACUGUUCCAAAUUACUUCCCCUCUUUAACUUCUGUUCACUUAUGUAAAGUAUGUUCAAAAUAGUGAGAUGAGGAAGGUCGAUAUUUAAGUCAGUGACUGACACAAAGUAAGAUCUAAACAAACUUAGCUAUUACUCUUGUUUUUACUCCUAUGAAGUUUAAACAUCAGUGUGCUAAUGGCAGCAAAACAUACUUGCUUGAUGAGAACCUCGGGAGCACAGUUUUACUUGAGUCAGUUUAAAGAAGAAGUAAUCUUAUGCAAAAAGUCAUGUCCUCUGUGAAUUUCCUGAACUCUAGAGAUACAACAGCUAAAUUCAGAGAGCCAGUAGUGCAAGACAUUUGAAAGCCAGUGGAGCAUGAGGCUGGACAAGAUGCAUUGUUAUGUGAAAGGCUGGCUGCGGCAGAUAUCAGUUGAGAAAUUAUUAUUCAGGCUGAAUGAUCCAUAUGAUAUUGCAUUGCAUUAUCCUGAGAAGGUCUUGCCAAAAUAGAUUUUGUUACAGGACUCAGAAAAAUUAAUACUACACACUAGAAGAUGUGGAAUAUUUAUAAGGAUAGAAUUUAGAAUUCUUUCACAGUGAUCAGGUGUUCUAUAACUCACCGAAAGUGACUUACUGGAUGAAAGACACUUGUCUGUGGAUUAGCCCACUCUUGCACUGCUGUAAACAAAUAUCUGAGACUAGGUAAUUUGUAACGAAAAGGGGUUUAAUUGGCUCAUGGAUCCACAGGCUAUACAUGAAGCAUGAUGGUGGCAUCUGCUUGGCUUUUGAGGAAGCCUUAGGAAACCUAUAAUCAUGGUGGAAGGUGAAGAGAGAGCCAGCACUUCAUAUGGCUAGAGCAGGAGGAAAGAGGGUCAGGAGGUGCCACACACUUUUAAAUGACCUAAUCUCAUGAGAACUCACUCAUUAUCAGGAGAACAGCACCAAUGGGGAAAUCCAUCCCCAUAAGCCAAUCACCUCCCACCAGGCCCCAUCUCCAACACUGGGGAUUACAGUCUACAUGAGAUUUGGAUUGGGGACACAGAUCCAAAUCAUAUCAGUUUGUUAGUUUUGUUUUAGAUUUCUCAUGGCAAUCGUACUAUAUUACUCCUUAAUGAUGCUAAUAGCUUCUUUUGCUUGCAUUAGCACUUUUAUUGGAGAAAGAGAAAUAAAAGAGAUUCUGUGCUUCAGCAGUAUCUAAAUCAAAA